CAGCAGGUAAGAGCGUUUGCUGCUGAAUUUGAUCCCCAGGACCCUCAUGGUAGAAGGAGAGGACUGACUCUUGAAAGCUGUGCUCUGACCUCCACACAAUUACACAAGAAUGUAACUAACAUUUUUUAAGUGUACUGGCAGACUUAAGGUAAGCCUGGGUUGGCUAUACUGAGGGGAUAACCGUAUAAAGAAAGGUAAGUAGAGUUUACUUACAAAAUCAGCAUCAAGAGGGGAUGCUCUGCUUGGCUUUUAUGACCAAGAUAUACACAUUUAGGAUAAACCUGGACCAAAGGUCUGUGUAGAAGGAAUAGGAUCUAGUGUUCUAGGUCUUUCUGAAGUUCAGACCAAGGUUGCUAGUGGAAACCUAGAGGAUGGGUGGAGCUCCACAGAACAACUUACCAAAUAGGUCUCCCCAUCUGAGGGGAGACUCGGGGUGCUCUCUAGGGGUCAGACUGCAGGUCGGAAUACCUGGCACCGUGGAGGCAUCUGCAGGAGGCAGCUUCUUCCACAGAGUCUGUGGCAAAUCAAGAGGGUGCCCUCAGGAGAUGAGAACAGACAGUGGCUGAAGGGGGCAGCUCUGUAGUUAAGACACAGGAGUUAUGGGGCUCAGCUUUGAUGUUCCCAAAUUAAAAAGCAAGAAGCUGCCUUCAGGAGAAAAGCUCUGUAAAGCGCUAGUGAGUGGUCACAUCUCAUAUUCCCCGGCACAAGCUUCACCUGCCAAGGCCCCGGGGUCGGGAGAGACCAAGUGGCACAAGAGGAAAGGACGAAGGCUACACCCAGGAUUGAGCAAGUCCAUCCACCCAAACACACAAACUGUCUCACAGCAUCGUCUGGACAGCCACUGGCUGCCAUCCCACACUACGGCAGACUCACUCUCAUGCUGCCCAGGGCCAGUACACAUGCUACCCAUAGCCUUUAGCUCUCUGAGGCUUGGGCGAACCCAGUACACCUGAGGAGUUUGGCCUUCCAUGGGAAAGAGGCUUAAAGAGGAAUGAUGUUGAUAACGUCUCCCUGGACGAACCCAGCACAGAGAAUUUUAUUGUCCUGAACCAGAAGGCCCCACUUGACUGAGAAAUAACAUCAACAGCUGAUAUUUGUAGAAAGCUUACAGUGUGCCAAACAUCGGAGAUCUUGUUUACAAAGAAAUGACAGAGCCGAGCCUGUUGCACGUGUCUGCAAUUGGGAGGCUGAAGCAGGAGCAUUGAAAACCAGUGGCUAACCUGCAUUACACAGAGGGAGCCUAUCUCAAGAAAAACAACAUGGGCUCUGGAGAGCUGGCUGUGUGCUUAAGAGUAUUUAUGGCUCUUGCAGAGGACCCAGGUUUAUUUUCUAGCACCCACAUGGUAGCUCACAACCAUCUGUAACUCCAGUCCCAGGAGAUCUGACCUCUUUUUUAUGACUUCUGAGGGCACCAGUCAUGUGCGUAAUGCAGGCAAAACACUCAUACACAUAAACAGAUUUUAAAAAGGUGAAAUAAAAUCAGCCGUAGCAUAAACUACAGAGGGAAUUGUCAAAGUAGCCUAAGGAAAGAAGAAGCCUAAGCAGAGGCGGCCCAGGAAACAGCGGGAAACUAUUUUAACCCUGUAUUUCAGACACUGGUACCCUGGGUGUUGCUGACAUCUUCCUCUGGCCUUGUCUUGUCUCCGCAAUCUUUGUGGUCCCCAGUGGAAGAAUUCCAAGGAGACGUGCUGAGUAAGCACCAGGCUGCUGUAGCAAUGGGACCAGUGUUAGGUGCCUGCCUAACUGUGGAGCUAAACAUGUGCCUGGAACAAAAUGGAAAAUGGGGUCAGAAAAUUUGAUCCGCUGUUUCCUUUCCUCCGUUGGCACCCCUCCUUCCUUGACUCUGGGCUCAAUGACUGACACGAUCCUGGGUCACCAUCAGCCUCUCCAAGUAUCUGCCUUGCAGAUAGCAGAUGGGGGUCUCUCUUAGUCCUCUGUGGAUCGUGAUGGAGAUGUGAAGGAUGGUUGUUAGGACUCCGGCGCCCUCGCCUGCCGUUCUCGAGUGCCCAUCGAGGCUGGGUUCUCCAUCGAGCCUGCUGCUCUCACUCCUCCUAGCGCAGUCUACGCUGAUCUCUCUACCACUCCUUCUGCCUGUUUCCAUGAUGGACUGUUCGUGAGCAGCAUCUACCACAAAGAAGAGGUGAAAGUGUGUUAUGACUCAGGUUGCAGCUCUUGGUGCCUGUGUGUGUUGAAUCACGGUGGACAGAUUCCCCCUUCAGAUCCCUGGCAACUGCUGUUUGGUCUGGUCAUAUCACAGCACCUAACCCUCCGUUGUGCUGCCCUGGAACAGUAGCUUCCAAGUACUUUAUUAUUGACUGUCCCUUUGCUGCUCUGGUCAUGAGCAUGAAUGCCCCUGUGCAGAAAAAUGCACACAAAGAUUCAUUCUCUGCUCAGGCUAACGUUCCUGUCAACCGUAUGAACUAUAAAUGUAUGUUUUCAGUCAUGUCUUCUCUGGGAUGCUUUUUUAUCACAUUCCUGGUGACCUCUUUCACCGUUGACAGUAGGAAAGGGUCCUCAGAGCUCAUCAAGAAGAGUUUUUCCAUUGAUGUGAAAAGACCAGCCUGGGAAAUGAUGAGGAGACAUCUAUUGUAAAGAUCCAUGGCCGUGUGCAUUGUAGAGCAAGUCUUCAAACACCUUAGCGUUGGAGGCCAUUCCUGACCGCCUAAUGUGACAAGGAAUUUGUCAAAGGUGGGGAUAGGGGAGGAGUAGAUCAGAUUAAGAGCAGCAAUGGGGGGAAGGAGAGAGAGAGAGAGAGAGAGAGAGAGAGAGAGAGAGAGAGAGAGCGCACUGAUGACACUCCACUACUCCAGGGGUCUAUAAAUGGGAGACAGCACUGCAUUAGGAACACUGAGACAUAUAAUGGCAGGUCCAAGCUCAGGUAGAAAGUGAAUUCAGAACCCUGCAGAAUCUUAUGUCUAGGGUGACUGAACCAAAUCAGAGUGUCAGCACCACUCUGGAAGCCAAGUCUGUGAGUCCAGUGGGCUGAUCUGUUCACAGACACCUGCUUGCCACAAGGCCUGGCUCAGGCCUAGACAAUCAUGGAGGUAUGGAGGCCAGACUUCUUUAAGACAUCUGAUCAACCUCAUAAUGGGACAGAUACCUGGAAAGUGCUCUGAAGAGAAUCAGUGGAGGGGGGGAGGGGCAGAGCCCAUGCCACCACCCACAGUAUAGGGUCCUAAGAUCCAAAUGGCAUAUUGAUACUAGGAGAUGUCAGGCAACUGAGAAAAUGUACAUAGAUCUGUGGGGUUCUGUUUAGGGUGUGACAAGGAGAUCUAGAAACAUUGGGGGCGCCAGGUAUGGAGUGUCAGACUUGACUCAGAGCUGGGGUACGUCAGCCCUUCAUUCCUCAGUGCGUCUGUCUGUAUGAGGGGCAUGGCUUUUCAAAUGACACCAGCUACUAGGAGGUAUAUGUGUGUGUUCAUUUCCAUCAUCCACCUGUGUAUAUACACUUAGGCACUUAUAUAGAAAUGCAUAAAGUACAUAGAGUUCAUGUAAAAUGAGAUAUAAUUCCUUUUCCAUAUUUUAUACAUGUAUAUAUCAGUAUCAGUAUAGAUUGUUACACCUUUACACCUUUGUCUCUUUCAUUUUGUAGAUGUAUGUAAUCGCGUUCAUUUUUUUACUCAGUUCUUUUUCAUUUAAAACCUAUUGUGCAGCAAGCACAGUUUCAUGGUUCUUAUCUAAAUGAGUCACUUUAUUUUAUGAAAUGACCCGCAGAUAGCCCAAAUGUUCAUUGCUUCAUUUCACAGGAGAACAGGACAGGUGUUGUGCCAAGUACUCUUUCUAGUCGCCUCUUCGCAGUUGCUACUUUUGUGCCAUUUGGAAAUGCUCUUCCUCUAACCCCGUUCAUCCAGCUUGAAGUUUUUCUUUCAGUUUACAGGGCUUCCUGUCGUACUUUCAGGAGAAAACUUUAUA